UUAUUGACUUAUUUCAAAUGACCCAUAUAGAUGUGACAAUAUAAAUAAAUGGUGUUGGGUGGAAAUACAGGAUGAAAAAUUAUAGACAAGAACAUGAACGUGUAAGAGGAUUUUGUGAGAGAGCAGGAGACAGGAUUAAAUCAGAUGUAAAUCAGGAAAAAGAAUGAGAGAUGAAAUGUUUCUCCUUAUCUACAGUUUAAUCACACACUGCCGGUGCAUCAAUCUACUGUCUGAUAAGAGAAAAUAAAUAUAGUUGUUGAUGUGGGAAUGAAGAGAAAUUCAUUUUCUUUGCCUUAAACAAUUUGCCACAACUAAAAAGGUAAGUCUGAGCUGUGAAACGACACUGAAUAUGAGUUAUACAUUUGGGGGAAUCAUUUUUCUUUUAACUAAAAAAACCCCCAAAAGAAUCAUAGUUUUCUUUUAUCACUGUUCAUGAAGUCACAUGUGUCAUAUGUCUGGAAAUGGGAAAAUAUUUGAUAUAUUUACUUGACUCAGAGCAUCUAUACAGCAAAGGGGGAGGAGACAGAGAGCCUACAUAUGAAUGAGUGAGAGAGAACGAGAGAUGGAGGGACAGUAUUAGAGAGGAACAGAUUGAGAGAGACUGAAUGAUGAGAAUGUGAGCGAGAGAUGCGGGAAGAGAGAGAGAGAAAGGAGGGGCGAGUGAUGUCCAGAGAUGGAAACGCUCAAUAUAAUUUUCUGCAACAGAAUCUAAACAUUCCUCAGAGUGAGAGGAAGAAACACAGAGCCAUAGAAAAGCAUUAAUGCUCAUCAGUCAUCACAGACAAAGAUGUCAAUGGAAGCAGGCAGCAUGGACACCAUUGAGGUUCCUCAAGACAAGAUUGUCAAAAAGGGGUCCUUCCGGAAGAAGAUAGAGAAGCUGAGGAGAUGGAGCACCUCUUCAGGCGGCGGCAGCUUCAAACGGCCACCCAAAACCAAAACCCUCAGUCUGAACUCACCCACUGACCCAGACACAGAGCCCCUCAGAGUAGAGACGGAGCGCAGGAAACUCAGACCCAUUGUGGCAUCCGUCUUUGGUCAGGUAUGGGUUGCUUUGUCACACGGGAAGUUAUUUAUGGUUUUGUGUUGUGUUGUGCUGAGGUGAACUGUGAGCUCCUGUAUUUCCAGUCAUUGCCUUGAUUUAAACAAAUGUUUUGGUUUGCUGAAACUUUCUUUAUUAAGUGCUUGAUGAUACAAUUUACACUUGAACUAAAAACGGGGAUCGGGUCUGUCAUAUAGGCCUACUAUUCAAAAAAGAGGAGCUGUGAUUGCUAAUGAAAUAGUGCUUAUUAUUAUGCUGAUGGAUACUGUGAAGACUCCAAAAGCAGUUUUUGUGUGAUUCUGAAUGAGGGUCUCUAUUUGUGAAUGGGUCACAUGGGCAUUUUUUUGCUCAAUUAACUCAAAGACUGCUAGUCAGGAUUCUGUAGUGUCUGGGUUAUUUGCAGUUUAUGAGUUGUGCUCUUUAAAUAUUUUAUAUUAAGUACAUGACGUUAAAAAGAAAUUCUUAAUACAGUGUUACUUAUUAGUUGGCAUGACACUAGUUCUCCAGUUAUGGACCCCAAAGUUUUUCAAAAAAGCCUGUUUCAGAUGUUGGUUGAACGUUAUCUGAUGCCUGCAUUGUGCUUAGACAUUUUAUGUAAUAAUAAUAAUACACACUGGGAGCUAAAAUAUUUUAACUGACUUGAGGUAUUAGACUGUCACUGAAAAUAAAAAUGGUGUAUAAACAAUUUUCA
ensembl:lncRNA